rnacentral:ncRNA from 1 species
AAAGUUUAAAUCUCAAACUUCCACCUAUUUAUUAUUUAGACUACACAUGCAAGCAUCUACGCCCCAGUGAAAACGCCUUCCCCCCAUUACAAAUGGGACAGAGCAGGUAUCAGGCUCACAAUGCUAGCCCAUAACACCUCGCCAAGCCACAUCCCCACGGAUAAUACAGCAGUGACUAACAUUAGGCAAUAAGCACCAACUAAGCUUGACCUAACUAAAAUUAAAAUGGCCGGCAAAUCUCGUGCCAGCAGCCGCGGUUACACGGGAGGCCAAAAAUAUGAUACAGCGGCGUAAAGAGUGAAUAUGAAUUAUACCUCCUACUAGGACCUAAAACUGUGCCUCAGAGAUGAAAUCCUAAGGUACCAGGAAUUUCUCAACACCCUACACCAGGCCAUUUAAAUCACGAAAGUCAGGAUACAAACUAGGAUUAGAUACCCUACUAUGCCCGACCAUAAACAAAAAUGGACUAAAACAAACCAUUCGCCCGAGAAUUACCAGCACAGGCUAAAAACUCAAAAGACUUGACGGUGCUCUACCCUACCUAGAGGAGCCUGUCCUAUAAUCGAUACUCCACGACCUACCUGACCUUUACUAGCCCACCAGCCUAUAUACCGCCGUCGAAAGUAUAUUCUGCAAAGAAUAAAUAAUUGACCCAACAGUCUUACCACUAAAACGUCAGGCCAAGGCAUAACUAAUGUAAAGGAAGAGAUGGGCUACAUUUUCUACUCACAGAACACACGAAAAAUAACAUGAAACCUGUUAAUUUAAAGGAGGAUUUAGCAGUAAGGCGGGUAAGAACACCCACCUUAACAUAGCACCAGAGCACGUACACACCGCCCGUCACCCUCAUUAAUACUAUACCACCCGCUUAAACAUAUUAAACCUUAAACCAAUAGAUGAGGAAAGUCGUAACACGGUAAGUGUACUGGAAAGUGCACUUGGAAAAU